rnacentral:rRNA from 1 species
UACGGAGGGUGCGAGCGUUAAUCGGAAUUACUGGGCGUAAAGCGCGCGUAGGCGGUCAGGCAAGUCGGGUGUGAAAGCCCUGGGCUCAACCUGGGAAUUGCAUUCGAAACUAUCUGACUCGAGUAUGGGAGAGGGAAGCGGAAUUUCCGGUGUAGCGGUGAAAUGCGUAGAUAUCGGAAGGAACACCAGUGGCGAAGGCGGCUUCGUGGACUAAUACUGACGCUGAGGUGCGAAAGCGUGGGGAGCAAACAGG